UGCAACAAAGUGUCACUCUUGGAUUGUUUGGGUUGCAAUUAGAGGGAUGCAGUUGUUAGCACAUCCCGUGUGUUCUUUGGUUCUGAAACCAGGGCUUGGUUCUUUAAAAACCUUCAUCCACUGAUAACUUUGGUGACAAUUAUCAGAGGGGUAGCCGUGUUACCGUGGAUCUGUAAAAAGCGACAGAGUCCUGUGGCACCUUAUAGACGAACAGACAUAUUGGAGCAUAAGCUUUCGUGGGUGAAUACCCACUUCGUCAGAUGCUUGUAGUGGAAAGCUCAUGCUCCAAUACGUCUGUUCGUCUAUAAGGUGCCACAGGACGCUCUGUCACUUUUUGGUGACAAUGUCUUGCAGUGGAAAUCCAUGUCUGAUGAAUCCUGCUUUCAAAGCAUCCAUGACAUUUGGCUGCCCGCUGCAGUGUGCUAGAGUAAUGAAACAAGCGAUUAUUUUGAGGAGAUGACAUCACAGUGAGUGGCCUUCUCCCUGUCCUGCCCCCACCUGUGAAUCCCGGUUCCCUGGCAGCACCACCAGUGGGGUGAAGGGAGAAAGGUUGGGAUGCCAUAUACUGGCCAGUUGCCGAUGGCAGCGGGUGAUUUUCAUAGCCAUGGCUAUCUGGACAUCCAGUAGGACUGAGGAGUCAAAAGGACCACAAGGCUGUGAACUGACUGUGCAGUGUAAAGCUUCUUUUUAUAAUAGCGUAUAUUAGAAGGAACAAGCUAUUUCUUCUUAUCAGCAUCCUUUCCACAUUGCCGGGGGUUAGCUUCAGCCAGCCCCACUCCGUGGGAAAGCUGGGCAUGGGUGCUAUUUACAUGUAAGCAGAGUUUGAAUGAGCUCUCCCCUGACAUCUAGUGGUGAGCUGUGGAAAAGGACUUCAGGAGCUGAUGUCAUUUGCAUAGGCACACCCACGCUGCCUAGGUGCUCAUCCUGAUGGGAUUGCUGACCCAAAUGGUCACUUUUGGCUGAUGUUGGAUUCCCAGUCUCCUUGUUGAUUGGGGCAGGAGGGUUGUUAUCCUUGUUGUGUGACCCCCCCAGGGCAGCAGAACUGUACUUGGCAUUUCCCAAUUGAGGGACUCAUCCUAAACGAAAGGGCACUCGCUGGGCAGGGGACAUGGGGUCCAAAGCCCAGCGAGAGGAGAGAGGGUGGGGACAGGUACUUGUAUGUGGUGUGGGCCCUGCCUAAGGGCCCCAGACACCAUCUGACCCUUCCUUUCUCAGCUGUGUAAUAACAGAGCUAAUUUAGACUCAAUUGAGAGUCUUAUUACAUGAUGCAAAGCUGAAAUCACUGAUACCUAGGUCUAAGUAUUAAACUUGCUUUGGGAUAGUAUCUCUGAUGCAAGGGACUGCCUAGUGUGCACCAGCAGUGAGGCUCCCCCACUAACAGCUGAAAUCACUGAGAGCUGUGCUAAGUGGUGGGCCCUGAAGACAUCUUGGUGAGCAGCCAUCAGGACGGCUGGUGAAGAGGUGCGGCCAGCAGGGCAGCUGGCGGAGAGGAGCCAGAGCAGAACCCCGCAGAGAGGUGCGGUGAGUGAGUGCCCGAGCAGCGGAGCAAGUAAGGUGCCUCCUUACCCGCUCCAGGGUGGAAGGUGAAUGCUGCAGAUGCAUCUCUGAACUCUGGGUCUGGACUGGACAACAACUGUGAGUGGGGUGCAGAGAAGGGACGGGCAUGUUAAAGGGACUUUUGGGUUGCUGGACUUAAGAACCUGAAGGGAAAAGGACACUGCCCAACUUACUUGGAGGUGGGUCUUUCAUUCAUGGUUUAUGUUUAUGAGCCCUGUUUGUGGUGUUUCCCCAAAUUAAUGCAGAGUUAUUUCCCUCCUUUUAUUAAAAGUUUUUGCUACACUCAGACUCUGUGCUUGCGAGAGGGGAAGUAUUGCCUUUUAGAGGCGCCCAGGGGGUGGUGUGUAAUUGUCCCAGGUCACUGGGUGGGGGUUCAAGCUGGUUUUGUGUUGUAUUGUUGAAAAGGAACCCCUAGAUAUUGAACCCAGCCCUUGUUGCUGCCAUCUCUGACUGGCAGAAGGGUUACAUACGUCUGACACACAUGAGGUGUAGAGCUGUGUCUCAUCACCAUAUUAAGGAUACUCUACCAGCUUCCCCUCUGGCUUCAGGUGGAUGCUGAAUAAGAUGGGAUACAGGACUGAGCCUUGUGGAACUGCACAGGCAAGGCCUCUGGAAGCAGAGGGGUCAAUUGCCCAUCGCAACCCUCUGCAUUUAGUCUGAGAGGAAAGAUCCAUGCUAUUUCAGGGUAUUUCCAUGCACUUCUGGGUUCUCUUGGGGGUGGGCAGGAGCCUUUGGUGAUCAGUAUCCCUUGUAUUGCAGAGAAGUCCAGCAGGAUAAGUAUGUGUGGACAUCGUUCACCAAAGCAGUAAGGGCUGUGUCUGUACCAUGUCCUGGCCUGAAGCCCAAAAAGGUUCCAGAGCAUUGGAGACUGUUUUUUUGUGUGUCCCACUUCCCACCACCUUCUUGAUUAGGUUGCUCAGAAAAGGUUAGACAUAGCACAGUGACUUGUAUGGUGGAAAGCACAGAGUGAUGGCUUUUCUAGUUCUGGUUGGACUAUUGUGUAGUUCAGGGUAGUCCGGAGGAUUCCCUCUGUGAAGGAUGUGUUGAUGCUAUUGUUAAGUCUCAGGUGUGUUCUCUUCGCUCUUGCCAACCAGAAAGGGCAGGUGGUGCCCAGCACUGGGGGUGGCCCUGGUUGCUAUGACUGCUGGUGCAAUUGGGCUGAAUUCUCUCAAGGAGGACUGUGUGCCUUUUUAGUCCUUUGUCAGGCAUGUUCCUACUACCCCAUGAGGCCCUCUUGGAUGGAGAGAUCACCUAUAUGAAAUAAGACACUUCCACACAGAGCGAGAUGUGAGGUUCUGCGGGGCAUGGGGAGGUGUUCUGGGUUUCCAAAAUGAUUUAGUUUGGAAAGGUCCCAUCAGUGUUACUUUGCUCCCUUUCUGGCAGAGAAGAAAUUUCAGGGUAAAGACCUACAUUUCUAAUGCAGAAAAAGGCAAGUGGGAGUCUGAAAUGAGCCCUGCUUUCCCAGCUUCGCUAAAGCUGCCAAGUGCUUGUCUGUUCUAGCAUCGCUUUCCUAUAACGUCCUUUUAAAUGAAUGGACUGAGAGUUUUUGCCCAGGUGCACUCAACAGACCCCAAUAAAGGAAAUGAUUGUGUUCCUCAUCCCAACGCCGUAUGUUCUCAUUCCUCGGAACGCUUAUUCUUGCAGCCAGGGAGGGCUGGAAACGUUUCUGUUGAACUAAAGCUUGAUUCCAAAUCCAUGAGUUAAUCACAUCUAUGGGUUGGGCUUGACAUCGGUUUUAUAGCUAGCCAGUAGGUUUAUGAUCAUGCUAUGCUGAAAUCUGCCAUUUAUCUCAUAAACUUUCCUGGACUGCUGGUCUCUGCUGUCUCCACUUUUCAUUUCCCUCAUAAGUUGCCCUGGUGCUUUCCCUUUCUAACAGUUCUGCUCCCAGCCCUCCUCCCUUCACCAGAAGGUCAGAAUGCUUCCUCUGACAAGCAUAGUGCAGAAGUUCGUCCUGCCUGCAUUAUUGCUAGGUAUGUCAUGACAUCCAGAGCUACAGUGGAGUGGUUGUUCUAUUGUCCCUGCACCUGGCUACUAAAUGUAAGGAAGGGAAAUCCUUUCAAGAAAGAGAUCUCUUUUCUCCAGCUUUAGAUGGGUGUCACACAUUUAAUUAUCUUCCUCUUGUUAAAGGCCCAUUCUGCUCCCAUUUAAGUCAGUGGCAAAGCUCCCACUGACGUCACCAGGAGCAAUAGCAAGGGAAGAGGAAGGAUGGAGAGUGAAUUCUCUCCCCAGAAGAAACUAAUUCAAUAAAAUGUGCAUAUUGUCUACUUAGCAAAUGAUCGCAGCGUCACGGCAGCAGUUGGCUAAACAGAAGCAUCAGUCAUUGGGCCUUAGGCUACUGUUGAGCUCGUGCUCUGAUUUCUGUGUUCCGUUCACAGUGUACUUAGCAACGUGCCAUUCACAGAUUCCUUUGUAGCCUUAAAAAAGUAAUCACCAUAUUUCUUGGGGGAGCUAUUUCCCUUGUAUAUUCUAGUCUGUUUGGUUUAUACUCCCAAAUAUCGUCACGAAAAACCGACUAAUUCUCACCGCAAGAGGAAUGUGGAAUAUACUUUUACAAAGUGACCAAAUGGCAAAUUACUUUGAGACCGGUUUCAGAGAUCAUCAUAAUGCUUAAACUGCUAGGGGAAGAUGACGAGGGGUCAUUGUUUUAAAUAUCUUGCAGGGGUGCUAGGCCAAGGGAAGGAGUAGGCUGCAGAGGGAUGGACUAGACUAGUGAUUUCUCAACCAGUGGGUCACGCUGCCCGGUGGAGGGAGGGGUCAUAAGGCAUUGAAAAAUGUCUUGCAAUCUAAAUCAAAGAGACUCUUGUUUCCCCCUUUCCCUGCCCACCCUUACCCUUUGAGGUCAAGUAUUCUCUGCCAACCAUUUGAAACCUCCUCAAACUACAUAGCCAUAGCAUUGACAC